CCCAGGAUCUCCCAGUCCGAACCCCUGGCCGGCAUCAUCCCUGCACUACACCGCCACCUCGGAGAUAGUGAUUUGCAAAUCAGUAUGACCUUGUUUCUUUGAUGACCAGGUUGUUGGGGAUCACUGCGUCAUAUAUUUGGAAUACAUCGUGCAUGAGAUCUCAACGGUUGGGACACACAUCAGAUAAACGUUGAGCUUCCUCGUGUCCGUCAAGCUCAAGUGCCCAGUGAGGAUGCUGCAGAUGAAGAAGUACUUCAAGGCUGGUGGCGACGGAGGCAACCGUGGGGAUAAGAUCCAUGGACUAAUCGAGAAGCUGAACUGAGGUGGUCUCCACUAGUAGUCCACAAACACGCGAUGGAUCCGUUACAUUAUCUGUUUUGUCCUUUGUAAUAGCAGCUGAAUUUACCAUUGUUUAUGAAACAGUGAACAAGUUUGGGAUCAUAUCAUGAAAUAGCAGAAAAACUAAUAUUUGAACUAGUCAGAAGUUGUCUAGCUCAUGGUAAUCAUAGAUGUCACUAGAAUAUUAAUCCCCACUGUGUAGAUAUGAAGUAUUCAAAUAAAAUUCAUAUCAUACAUUCUUCUUUA